CUGAUGCUCUUGUAGGCGUUGCUGGCUGUUUGGCAAGGAAUGACUGCUGUUUCAUAAGAAAUACUUGCUCAUCUUCUGCUGCCAGCUCUUUAUCAUGGACUAACUUUCGUACAGGAGGUUUUGCAAUGAAGUCCUCAUAUGCAUCGUCUGGUUUCACUGUUGUGAAGUUUUCAUGUAAAAUGGCAAUUUUCUUUUCAUUAUCCC
rnacentral:lncRNA from 1 species